AUGAACGCUAGCGACAGGCCUAACACAUGCAAGUCGAGGGGCAGCACAAGGAGCAAUCUGAGGUGGCGACCGGCGCACGGGUGAGUAACACGUAUGCAACCUGCCUGUAAGCGGGGAAUAACCCGUUGAAAGACGGACUAAUACCGCAUAAUACUAAAUUACUGCAUGGUAAUUUAUUUAAACAUUUAUGGCUUACAGAUGGGCAUGCGCAUGAUUAGCUAGUUGGAGAGGUAACGGCUCCCCAAGGCAACGAUCAUUAGGGGUUCUGAGAGGAAGGUCCCCCACACUGGUACUGAGACACGGACCAGACUCCUACGGGAGGCAGCAGUGAGGAAUAUUGGUCAAUGGACGAGAGUCUGAACCAGCCAAGUCGCGUGCAGGAAGAAUGUCCCUAUGGAUUGUAAACUGCUUUUGCAGGGGAAUAAAGUGCAUUACGUGUGAUGUUUUGUAUGUACUCUGCGAAUAAGGAUCGGCUAACUCCGUGCCAGCCGCAGC
rnacentral:rRNA from 1 species